rnacentral:lncRNA from 1 species
AUUAUUGCUAAUUCAUCGCAACCAAUGACAGUGAACUUAGUCUUAUCAGAAAAGCUAAGAUGUGGUGGCAGAUUGAUCCAGGCAUUCCCUCCGGUAUAGUUGCCAUGUUGGUCAUAGCAACGGGACGCCAUCCAAUUCUUGAUUCACAAAUGAGAUUUCGAUAUAUCUAUAACCUCAAGAUUUGUCACAUGAAUGAAGGGCUUGGGAGGGUUGAAAGAAGUGUUGCUAUUGAUGUCAAACAAUGGAUUGAUGGAACAACCACUGCCUAAGCCAAUGCCAAAGGGGUGUCAAACAAUUAGAUUUUCCAUAUUUUCUCCGGGACCUCGGCUUGGUUAUGUUUUCUACUCUCGUUAUGGUUGUGGGAAUUUGGGUCGUGUUAUCAUUUUCAGAAGUGGCCAAUGCCAACAGAAGCCACAAGGAAUAGAACAUAAUGUAGAAGCAUGUUUAGUAUGAAAUUCGACUGAGUUCUUGUGUUGGACUUCAU